GCUACACUGUGACCUGAGAGACGGUGUCAAACCUUUAGCCCAGCCGGCUGCUAUAUGGAGUGGGACAUGCAGGUGUCGCCAAAGCUUCAUCCUCACCUCGGCUGUCAGCAACAUGUACUGUACAGCAGCAGGGCAGCUGAGCUUUAUUUUGCUUCCCAGCCUGGAAACCACUGUAGUGCAGUUGGACUUGACGUCUAGCAUCACAACAUCACAGACUCAAAGCGAGCAGACACGGUGACUUAGCACGUCAGCGUCUGCAUUUACAGGACAUACUGGAGGACAGGGACUGGCUGUGGACUGCUAAGCGGUUCCCAGGUGUCUCUGAGCACAUCAAGGGGUCCUCCUACUUUCCUCCCAUACAAGAGCUCAAAGGCUGUGGUGCCAGUGUGAGAGCAUCUCACUGCCUCCGUGCUGAGCUUGGGACUGCAGCAACAAGACAAAAGACGUAAGAGAAGAAAGA